AGUACGGGAGGCAGCAGUGGGGAAUUUUCCGCAAUGGGCGAAAGCCUGACGGAGCAAUGCCGCGUGGAGGUAGAAGGCCUACGGGUCGUGAACUUCUUUUCCCGGAGAAGAAGCAAUGACGGUGUCUGGGGAAUAAGCAUCGGCUAACUCUGUGCCAGCAGCCGCGGUAAU
rnacentral:rRNA from 1 species